UCCCUGGUGGCUCAAAUGGCAAAGUGUCUGUCUGCAAUGCAGGAGACCCAGGUUUGAUCCCUGGUUGGGAAG
rnacentral:tRNA from 1 species